CGUCCUACGGGACGCAGCAGUGGGGGAUAUUGCACAAUGGGGGAAACCCUGAUGCAGCGACGCCGCGUGAGUGAAGAAGUAUUUCGGUACGUAAAGCUCUAUCAGCAGGGAAGAAUAAUGACGGUACCUGACUAAGAAGCCCCGGCUAACUACGGGCCAGCAGCCGCGGUAAUACGUAGGGGGCAAGCGUUGUCCGGAUUUAUUGGGUUUAAAGGGUGCGUAGGCGGGACGGUAAGUCAGCGGUAAAAAUGCGGAGCUCAACUCCGUCGAGCCGUUGAAACUGCCG
rnacentral:rRNA from 1 species